GGCGGCGUAGCUCAGCUGGUUAGAGCGCCGGACUCAUAAGCCGGAGGUCACAGGUUCAAGUCCCGUCGCCGCUACCA
rnacentral:tRNA from 1 species